rnacentral:rRNA from 1 species
CCUACGGGUGGCAGCAGUGGGGAAUUUUGCACAAUGGGGGAAACCCUGAUGCAGCGACGCCGCAUGAGUGAAGAAGUAUUUCGGUAUGUAAAGCCCUAUCAGCAGGGAAGAAAAUGACGGUACCUGAUUAAGAAGCCCCUGCUAACUACGUGCCAGCAGCCGCGGUAAUACGUCGGGGGCAAGCGUUAUCCGGAUUUACUGGGUGUAAAGGGAGCGUAGACGGCAGAGCAAGUCUGAAGUGAAAGGCCGGGGCUUAACCCCGGAACUGCUUUGGAAACUGUGCAGCUAGAGUGGAGGAGAGGUAAGUGGAAUUCCUAGGGGAGCGGUGAAAUGCGUAGAUAUUAGGAAGAACACCGGUUGCGAAGGCGGCCUACUGGACUGUAACUGACGUUGAGGCUCGAAAGCGUGGGGAGCAAACAGGAUUAGAUACCCUGGUAGUC